CCUAUCUCUGCAUCUCUGCAUCCUUCAGACCAGCCUAGGUUAGUUCCAUAACUCCCCCUUUUUUCAUGGCUCUAUUUCUAAACUAUGCCGAUCUUCUUUUGUUGCAGAUAUGGAUGCGGAUGUGGCUCGGAUGUUAGCCAAGAGUCUCAAGGCCCACAAGAGGAAAGGUGCUGCAACUUCUGGGUCGGCGAAGAAGGCGAGGGUAGAAGAGACAGAUCCGGCCGUGCUUCGCC
rnacentral:lncRNA from 1 species